CCAGAGAACUUUCCAGAGAUGGAUUUGGUGCCUUCGGGAACUCUGAGACAGGUGCUGCAUGGCUGUCGUCAGCUCGUGUUGUGAAAUGUUGGGUUAAGUCCCGCAACGAGCGCAACCCUUAUCCUUUGUUGCCAGCGGUCCGGCCGGGAACUCAAAGGAGACUGCCAGUGAUAAACUGGAGGAAGGUGGGGAUGACGUCAAGUCAUCAUGGCCCUUACGAGUAGGGCUACACACGUGCUACAAUGGCGCAUACAAAGAGAAGCGACCUCGCGAGAGCAAGCGGACCUCAUAAAGUGCGUCGUAGUCCGGAUUGGAGUCUGCAACUCGACUCCAUGAAGUCGGAAUCGCUAGUAAUCGUGGAUCAGAAUGCCACGGUGAAUACGUUCCCGGGCCUUGUACACACCGCCCGUCACACCAUGGGAGUGGGUUGCAAAAGAAGUAGGUAGCUUAACCUUCGGGAGGGCGCUUACCACUUUGUGAUUCAUGACUGGGGUGAAGUCGUAACAAGGUAAGCGUAGUGCU
rnacentral:rRNA from 1 species